GCCCACAGCUGUUUUGGUAACAGACAGAUGCUGCCUCAAGAAGAGAACAAUUCCAUAACCCUAACCUUAGACGUUUUCCUGAACAAUUGAAGGAAAGGAGGGGGGAAAAGCAAACCAAAGGCCCCACAUCUAAUUGAUUUCCUGAUGCAGACUCCUGUUUUAUCACUUGCUAUUUAUUGAGUACCUGCACUGGAGAGCUGCAGGGUUUCUGCUCCCCUGGGACUUCUCCUCCUCCCCCUUCCAGACCUCAGCGAGGAUGAUGGACUCAUUCGCUUCCAUUCACCCUGUCAACAGCCCCCGGCCUUGAUGGAGAUGGAUUACGAGCAGUGCAGGCAAUCAGGGGCCAAAAACAGAAACAUCAAACUACCAUGAGAGAAACUUUGCAAGAAAUCUUGCAGGAGGAAGCCUGUUCUUUUGAGACUUAUUUCUGGGAGAUAUCCCCUCAUGAUUCCAAACAAGGACUUUGUAACAACCAAAGAAACACCUGUACCCCUCCCCUCAGCAAAUGCACCAGAGAAUCCAUCCUGGGUUUUACACUGAACUUGGUGGAUGCUGCGACAGGACUUUGGGAGGUUAGCUUGUGUUGGGUAGAUACUCAUGAAACACAGUUCAAAAACUCAGUUAUGUAGUGUGAUGGAGUCUCAGCAUCUUGAGUUUCGGAGCCCCCACUGGGUUCAGUGGGAGUUAUAUCACAGAUUAAUUUGGCCCAGUGGCCCCAGUUCAGGGAUGAAAUGACACCAGUUUAAACCCACUAUGUGUGCAUGUCUGGGGGGGCUAUUGAAAGGGAAGUGUAAAGCUAAGGGUAAUAGUAUCUCAAAAUGAAGCUGAGAGGUGCAGAAUGGUGGCCUAAUAAAUGUCAGUUUGAGUUGUUCAGGAGGAGGAGUACAGAAAAUAUCUGAAAAGCAACAGUGGAGCUUACUUCCUAGACUCCUGAAAUAGCAGAAUGGGGUCAACAGCUGAGAUCCCAGCUCUCGGGACAGUUGGGGUCAAGUAGAGAGGCUGGGGGUUCUGGGAGCAGGGAGAGAAACCCGGCUGAUGGGCUAGUUUUGGAAGGAUUCUAAGUGGGGCUGGUUGAAAUUUUUCCAAACUCUUUUUUUCUAAUAGAAAACAGGGGUUUUGACAAAAUGACUUUUCCAGAAAAUUUUGAAUUUUUUUUUAAAAACCAAAAACCUAAAUACUUUGACUUUUGAGUUUCCAAUUUAAGCAAAAUCAAAUUUUCCUCACCCCCCACAUUCCCAACCAGCUGUAAUUGUAACACUUGUCAGGGGGAAACUAGGUGUUUCAUGUUCUCCUGAUAUAACAGAUAUCACAGAGAAGUCCUCAUCUGCUUCCCAUUACCACCCAGAGACCUCAUCGAAUGCCUCUGCUCUACAUAGACAGGAAAUCAAUGGUCAGAGCUGACCAAGGGGUGGAAAAAAAUGGUCUAUGAGUAAAUUAAAUUAGAGACUUUCUACAUGACUAAAUGACUAUUGUAGUAGGUAAUAUCUCUUCAAAGCUCCCCUGGGAAGAGAGUGGGCACUGCUGUUGUCUCCCCAGAUCUUGGUGGGGUUGCUCCAGGGUCCUCCACAGCAGGGACAAAGUAGUCUAAAUGAUGCUGCCACAGCCCACAAAAGGUGGAGUCCAGAGACUUCAGAAGAGAGAGAGAGAGAGAGAGAGAGAAGGAAAAAAAGCCAUUCACUCUCCUUUCUGAGAGGCUCUGGGCAGGCAAGGAUCAUGAGCAGUUUCUCCAAGACAGCAACCCUUGCUUCCAGGAGCUGAGGAGCUCUGGGUGAUAGCCCUACCUCCCAGAAUACCACCCCAAACUGAGCUAGCAUCAGCCUUUGUAAGGGCCUGCAUCUCUCCAGACUUGACAAGCAUCACAGAUGCUCCCAUUUGGCUGACUGUGCCCACAGGAGCUCUUUAAUGCCUUCUCGACUGGCAUUAAAUGUUUGUUUCCUGCCAGCAUCUGAACCUUCCAAGCCUACUUGGGCCAAUAAUGGUGAAAAGUGAAUUUUGGUUGUGAGUAGUCACGGGGGAUGAAAUUCACACUUAUGCACGGUUUAAGUCUCAUGAAGGCCACAGAGGAUUGUGCUGGCAGGGGCAUAUUUUCCCUGGAUGCGCUGGUGGUUAAUCACCUAAGUUAUCCAAUCAUGGAAGAGAAACAUUAGCCUGCACCUUUUAGUGCUAACUAGCACAGCACGUGUUGAGGAUAUGUACCCAAACUGUUCUGAAAUGAUCUGUGCCCCAAGAAUUAUUCACCAAUCCUUUGCCAUCACAAGCCCUUUGGAGAAUUUCACCAGCUGUUCACACUCCAGAACAGAAAAGGGGGGAGGGGAAGGGAACCCAAGCCAUGUUCAUUAAAUAUUAGCGGCCAGUUAUGUCGUCAUCUCAGAAUCUCAGAUACCACUGUGUGGUGGCAGUUAGGACAUGCUAACUUUACUACAGUGACCACGGUACCAGGACAUCACAUCAGCAAAACAUUUUGGGGGGCAGCUGUGUUACUUCCCCACUUCUUCAUCCCUUCUGAGGCUGCAGCCACUCGUGGGGGAGGUGUUAGUGUUCUGAGCCCAUCCCAGAGUGGGGUGGUGAGGUGGGAGGCCAGUCGGAUUCUGGGGAGUGAGGAGGAUGGGGGGCUGGGAGAGAGGUGUCUCACCGACGGCCAGCCCUGCGUGGGAUUGGGGCCUGGCUUUUUCCACAUUCAGCUCUGACCCAGGCUCCUGCUGCCUGGUCGGUGGGAAGGGGAUGUGUGCCAGAAUCUGCUCAAGAUAAUCUGCUGCCCCUCCGCCUCCAUAGACCUAGGGUGGUAGAUUUAGCCUGGUUGCCUCUCCAUCAUGAUGGACGGGUGGCCAGGCCACAUUUGGGUGAGUGGCAUUGUGAUCUGGCACAUGGGGUUGCAACAUCAACUCAAAUUUGGCCUGGCCGCUUCUCCCUCCUGACAGAAGGGCAACUGGGCCAAAUCUGCUGCUCUAGGCAGCUGCCCAGAAAUUUGCCACCUAUAGUCAGGGGAGGAAAGGAGCGGAAGUAGGGCUCUGCCCCAUAGCAAAUGGUGCCCCUGCCCUGUACUCUCCAAUAUCCAAAGCACUCUAGAUUUCUGCAUUACUGUUUCACGUACUUAUUGCAUGGGAAGAUUGGCAUUACCAGACUGGAUCAGACAAAUCGUCCAUCUAGUCCAGGAGGCAGUACCAGCGGCUUAAGAGGAAGAUGCAAGAAACCUAGCAGUAGGCAGUUAGGGGAUACCUGCCCCCAGAGAAAGUUUGUGCUUCACGUCCAUGCGUGAUGCUGCCCAAAAUGAAAAUUUUAUCCACUGAAAAAGGGAUUUAAAAAAAAAUU